rnacentral:sRNA from 1 species
AAAGCUGCUAUUAUAUGUCAUGCCAAC